GGGUGGGGCAAGGGAGGAUAGAGAGAUUGCUGUGCGGUGAGGAAAUCUGCCUGGAGGGCAAGGAGGUGGCGCCCUACUAGGAGAAGAUGCAAAAGUGAGCUUCCUGGGGGGCUUCCUGUAACACUGACCCAGACUAGUUCCUGGCUCUACCAUCUGGAACAGCGUCAAGGCCGGAUUCAGGACAACUUGUUGGAAACAAAGCUCAUAAACUCGGCACUCAACUGGGAGCAGGCUGCCAACAGAAAUUGGACUAAGUGCUUCAAAAGAGACUUGAGUGGACUUCCUGCAUCAGGAAGGCACAGCAGGUGGCGCCAUCCCUGAAGGAGAGUCACACCAGACACCAUGUCUGUCAACAACUUGAUCUUGGACUUUCAGCCCUCCAGAACCUUGAGAAUAAAUUCUGUUGUCUAUAAA